rnacentral:rRNA from 1 species
AUGGAGCCGUUGUGGGUUUUCGUUGGUGCAUUAUUGGCAGCCACAGCAGUUCAUGUCGCCGGUCAGCAAGAAGGUUUCCUGAGCAUCGACUGCGCCCUGGAUGCCAAAUUCAACGGACGCAGAGACACCUACACAAACAUCGCCUACGUCUCCGACGAUCCGUACGUUGACGGCGGGAAGAACCAUAGGGUAGCCGCCGAGUUCGAUGACAGUUCUACAGCCGAGAACCUCCGCACACUCAGGAGCUUCCCGUCUGGCUUACGGAACUGCUAUACCCUCCCAACCGAGAGCGGUGGCAAGUACCUGGUCCGGAUGGUGUUCUUACACGGGGAAUACGACGGGAAGACCAGUCCGUCGUUCGAGGUACACUUGGGCAGCAACUACUGGGACACGUUCCGGAACAAUGACUACUGGUGGUCCGAAGCGGUCUUCGUCGCGUGGGCGAGCUGGGUGCCGUUGUGCCUAGUGAACACCGGCGGCGGCACGCCAUUUGUGAACACGGUGGAGCUGAGGCCGCUCUUACCCUCGCUUUACCCCCAGGUCACUGUCAACGAGUCGAUAUCCGCCUUUGCAAGGAGAAAUCUGGGGGCAAACACUAGUUACCGGUUUCCCGACGAUCCAUAUGACCGCUUCUGGGGAUGGAAAGUCAGCUCGUUGUGGGCAAACCUUUCCACCAAAGAGACCAUCCAGCAGGAAGACAACUACGCUGUGCCCAUCCCUGUUCUUCGGACAGCCGUCGCUCCUGUCAACAAUGCCACGGUGCUAAACCUCGGUACAUGGGAAACGUACAAAAGUUCAUUCGAGUUUAAAAAUUUUCUACACUUCUCCGACAUCCAAAACACCCAGCUCCGACAGUUCGACAUCUACUUGAACGACCAUGAGUGGUACAAGAAAUACAGCCCCCCGUAUCUGAUCGCUCAUUCUCUGUAUUCUAUUGGCUGGUACAAGGCUAUAGAAGGCACGUACAAUAUUACUCUUGCAGCCACCAAUGCAUCUGUGCUGCCUCCGAUGAUCAACGCAUACGAGAUCUUCAACCUCAUCCCCCACGACACUCCGAGGACGUCCCCCAAAGACUUCGACACAAUGAUGGCUAUCAAACUCGAGUACGGAGUAAAGAAAAACUGGAUGGGUGAUCCAUGCUUUCCUGCCAACUAUCGUUGGAGUGGCGUGAACUGUAGCGGCGUAACUGCUAACACAACGCGGAUAAUAUCUGUGGAUCUGUCAGACAGUAACUUGACUGGAGUGAUAUCUGAUAACUUCACACUGCUCACAGAACUCCGAUAUCUGGAUUUAUCUGGCAACAGUCUGAAUGGACCAGUUCCAAAGUCCCUCUGUAAAAGGAGUGCAGGAUCACUCAUUUUCAGGUAUCAAUCUGAUGAAGAUAUGUGCAACAAAACAACAAUAAGUCCGCCUCCAUCAAAAAAUAGAACAGCCAUAAUAUCUAUUUCAAUAGUGGUUCCCAUGUUGGUAGUGGCUAUACUUGUUCUGGCAUGUUUGAUCUGGAGGGGAAGGAGAAAGCCCAAAAUUUCUACACAUGAUCCUCCCAGGGAACCAGAACUUCAGAGUGCUCCUGAAAGUAGAAAAAGUAAUGGGGAUCAGCUACAAAAUACUGAGAACCGCCGAUUCACAUACAAGGAGCUAGAGAAGUUUACUGAUAAAUUCCAACGGUGCAUUGGUAAAGGAGGUUUUGGACUCGUGUACUACGGCCGUUUAGAAGACAAUGCUGAGGUUGCUGUCAAGAUGCGUUCUGAAUCAUCAUCACAUGGACUUGAUGAGUUUUUAGCCGAGGUCAAUAGCUUGACAAAGGUGCAUCACAGGAACCUAGUUUCUUUGGUUGGUUACUGCUGGGAGAAGGACCAUUUAGCACUGGUUUAUGAGUACAUGUCCCAGGGCAAUCUUUGUGAUCAUCUGAGAGGGAAAAAUGGUGCUGGUGAAACCUUAAGUUGGGCGACACGUGUACGAAUCGUGCUCGAAGCUGCACAAGGCCUGGAUUAUCUGCACAAGGGAUGUAGCUUGCCAAUAAUUCACCGGGAUGUGAAAACCAACAACAUUCUCCUAGGUCAUAAUCUAAAGGCGAAAAUAGCUGAUUUUGGACUUUGCAAGACCUAUCUUAGUGACAUGCAGACCCACAUAUCAACCAAUGCGGCUGGGACAGCAGGUUACAUGGACCCCGAGUACUAUCACACUGGCUGGCUCACUGAAAGCAGCGAUGUCUAUAGCUUCGGUGUUGUUCUACUUGAGGUAGCAACCGGUGAACCUCCGGUACUGCCGGGCCAUGGCCACAUCGUUCAACGUGUGAAGCAGAAGAUUGCCACUGGCAACAUCACCACGGUGGCAGAUGCACACCUUGGAGGUGAAUAUGAUGUCAACUCCAUGUGGAAACUGGUCGACACCGCAAUGGCAUGCACAGCGGAUGCUGCUGUCCGAAGGCCAACAAUGGCUGCCGUUGUGGCGCAGCUGAAAGAGAGCCUUGCGUUGGAGGAAGGUCGUGAGGACAGUAGCAUCAGGGGAAGCAUAGUGAGUACUACUUCUGCCCCGAUGUCCGCGUUCGGUCCAUCAGCAAGAUAA